UACGAGGACGAACGCUGGCGGCGUGCCUAAUACAUGCAAGUAGAACGCUGAAGAAAGGAGCUUGCUUCUUUUGGAUGAGUUGCGAACGGGUGAGUAACGCGUAGGUAACCUGCCUUGUAGCGGGGGACAACUAUUGGAAACGAUAGCUAAUACCGCAUAACAGCUUUUGACACAUGUUAGAAGCUUGAAAGAUGCAAUUGCAUCACUACGAGAUGGACCUGCGUUGUAUUAGCUAGUAGGUAGGGUAACGGCCUACCUAGGCGACGAUACAUAGCCGACCUGAGAGGUUGAACGGCCACAUUGGGACUGAGACACGGCCCAGACUCCUACGGGAGGCAGCAGUGGGGGAUAUUGCGCAAUGGGGGAAACCCUGAUGCAGCGACGCCGCGUGAGGGAAGACGGUUUUCGGAUUGUAAACCUCUGUCUUCGGGGACGAACAGAUGACGGUACCCGAGGAGGAAGCCACGGCUAACUACGUG
rnacentral:rRNA from 1 species